GACGAACGCUGGCGGCGUGCCUAAUACAUGCAAGUCGAGCGAACAGACGAGGAGCUUGCUCCUUUGACGUUAGCGGCGGACGGGUGAGUAACACGUGGGUAACCUACCUAUAAGACUGGGAUAACUUCGGGAAACCGGAGCUAAUACCGGAUAAUAUUUCGAACCGCAUGGUUCGAUAGUGAAAGAUGGCUUUGCUAUCACUUAUAGAUGGACCUGCGCCGUAUUAGCUAGUUGGUAAGGUAACGGCUUACCAAGGCAACGAUACGUAGCCGACCUGAGAGGGUGAUCGGCCACACUGGAACUGAGACACGGUCCAGACUCCUACGGGAGGCAGCAGUAGGGAAUCUUCCGCAAUGGGCGAAAGCCUGACGGAGCAACGCCGCGUGAGUGAUGAAGGUCUUCGGAUCGUAAAACUCUGUUAUUAGGGAAGAACAAACGUGUAAGUAACUGUGCACGUCUUGACGGUACCUAAUCAGAAAGCCACGGCUAACUACGUG
rnacentral:rRNA from 1 species